UACGGAGGGUGCAAGCGUUAUCCGGAUUCACUGGGUUUAAAGGGUGCGUAGGCGGGUUGGUAAGUCCGUGGUGAAAUCUCCAAGCUUAACUUGGAAACUGCCGUGGAUACUAUCAAUCUUGAAUAUAGUGGAGGUGAGCGGAAUAUGUCAUGUAGCGGUGAAAUGCCUAGAUAUGACAUAGAACACCCAUUGCGAAGGCAGCUCGCUACACUAUUAUUGACGCUGAGGCACGAAAGCGUGGGGAUCAAACAGG
rnacentral:rRNA from 1 species